rnacentral:tRNA from 2 species
AGGGGUGUAGCUCAAUUGGUAGAGUAGCGGACUCCAAAUCCGUUGGUUGCGGGUUCGAGCCCUGCCACCCCUGCCA